rnacentral:rRNA from 1 species
UACAGAGGGUGCGAGCGUUAAUCGGAAUUACUGGGCGUAAAGCGUGCGUAGACGGUUAUUUAAGUCGGAUGUGAAAUCCCCGGGCUUAACCUGGGAACUGCAUUCGGGACUGCAUUGCUCGAGUAUGGGAGAGGGAAGUGGAAUUUCAGGUGUAGCGGUGAAAUGCGUAGAUAUCUGAAGGAACAUCAGUGGCGAAAGCGACUUCCUGGACCAAUACUGACGCUCAUGUGCGAAAGCGUGGGGAGCAAACAGG